rnacentral:rRNA from 1 species
UACGUAGGGGGCAAGCGUUGUCCGGAAUCAUUGGGCGUAAAGAGCGUGUAGGCGGCCCGAUAAGUCCGCUGUGAAAGUCCAGGGCUCAACCCUGGGAUGCCGGUGGAUACUGUCGGGCUCGAGUCCGGAAGAGGAGUGUGGAAUUCCUGGUGUAGCGGUGAAAUGCGCAGAUAUCCGGAGGAACACCAAUGGCGAAGGCAGCACUCUGGGACGUGACUGACGCUGAGACGCGAAAGCGUGGGGAGCAAACAGG